rnacentral:rRNA from 1 species
UACGAAGGGGGCUAGCGUUGCUCGGAAUCACUGGGCGUAAAGCGCACGUAGGCGGACUCUUAAGUCGGUGGUGAAAUCCUGGAGCUCAACUCCAGAACUGCCUUCGAUACUGGAAAGCUCGAGUCCGGGAGAGGUGAGUGGAACUGCGAGUGUAGAGGUGAAAUUCGUAGAUAUUCGCAAGAACACCAAGUGGCGAAGGCGGCUCACUGGCCCGGUACUGACGCUGAGGUGCGAAAAGCGUGGGGAGCAAACAGGG